GACAGAACUGGCGAGGUUGGGGGGCAGUAGUGGGUGAGUGGGAAGGAGUAAUUUUCAGAUCAGCCUCCUUUAAAGGGCACAUGAGCCCAGACUGGAGAGGCCAACUGUGUGAACACUUGGCAGAAAGGAAUUUUGGGCAAAGGGAGGCCACAAGAGUGCCCAGAGGAGCAGCAGGUGGGCCCUGAGUUCCAAGCAGAGGAGUGAGGGGCCACAGAGAUUUCCUUGAGGAAAGGGCUGUGCCGGCUUAGGGCGGUUGGACGACGGCUGUUUUGCCUCCAGCCAGCUCUUUAUUUCCUCCAGCUGUCGACCACCAUGUUCUCACAGAUGUAUGUUCUUUGUUUGUUUUCCAUCGACUUGGAGGAAGUGGAAUUCCAGGGUCCAAAACACAGGAGUCUGCAAGGGUCACAGAAAUCUGGACGUGCAUGUGGAAGGCUUCUCCCGUCCUUGAGGAUUAGACAACAGAGGUCCAGCAAGGCUGGAACUCAGCUGAGACCCCAUCGAUGAGUAUCAGCAGCAGGGCUGGGCCUCUCACUGAUAGGGGGUCGGCCCAGGCUGAUAGGCUGGGCCUUUGGGGCACAGUGAAGGUAGUAGCCAGGGGACAAAACACAAAGGGCAGGUGGCCUUCAUGGUGAUCCAUUCAAUCCAAGGUAUGUGGGUGGCAAUAAAAAGAAGAAAA